AAAUAGUAACAUUCCUUCCAAUUAUGAAUAGAGGAAGGAGCAUCUCAGAAGAGGCACCACCCCAUCCGAGGAGAAGGAUAUCACCAUGUGACCUCUUUUAAGUGUUCCUUGAAUAAGAAACACACGCAAAAUAGGUAGAUGGUUGACUCGAUGUCGAGAAGGAAACAGUGGGAAAGGAAGGACACUAUAAGGUGCUAUUAGUUCGGUGCCACACAAUAGGGAGCUACUUGAAAUACCCUAAGAAGGUCUACAAUUAAAGAUUCAAAAUGUAACCUAAGGCCAAUCUUGAAGGAUUCUUCAUACAGUUUGACUUGACCUAGAGGAGCUCUAGCUAUCCAGUCGUUGGGAUUGACAAGCUCCAAUUUGUGUCCUGGAGGAAUCUGAUAUUGGAGAUGGACAACAUCCAAGUCCUUGCGGAUGAGGAUGGAGGCAACUUGGAAAGGGUCAAAAUUUGGCACCUCCUCGACCUUAGAGCCCUUUGAGGAGGACUCACUAUGGGACUGAGGAUCCUCACCAGAUGAAUCCUG
rnacentral:lncRNA from 1 species